rnacentral:misc_RNA from 1 species
UAAUUCAUAUGUAUGCCGUGUUCUGACAAAGAAAAAAAAAGGGCCUAACAUGUUAUAAAUUGCAUUAACAAAUCUUUUCCGUUAGCCAAAUUACCAUGUAGCCCAGUCUUUUUCUUUUUUGCAAGGCCUUUUCUUCCCUUUGUAGACCCCACUUGUCCACACCCCUGUCGCUAUCCCCUCCUCCUCUGUCAUCUCUCUCUAUUUAUCUCUUCAACAUUCACACAACCAAAUAGACAAAAAUUUUGUUUCAUUGAUACACAGAGAGAGACACAGACGCAGGCAUAUACACUGCACAGCCGCACGCACACACAUAUAGAAACUAAAAAAAGAGAGAGUGGAAGAGGGGAGGAAAUUAAGGUGCUUUCAUGGGUAACUACAGGUUUAGGUUGUCUGAUAUGAUGCCCAAUGCUUGGUUUUACAAACUCAAGGAAAUGGGCAGAACCAGAAACCAUACUACUACUAGCACUCAUUCCAUGAAAAAGAAACAACCGAUUACUAACACAUCAGCAGAUGCCACUUCUGCUGCUGGGCCACUGCCAUCCAAACCAAAGCAAACCCACCACCACCAAUGCUCUUAUCCAAGAAAAUCUUACUACUUCACCAGAGAGCUUAUCCCCACUAACCCAAAAUCCACAGACACCCAUUUCCAUGACCCACCAAGAAGAUCCUCUAAACAACGACUGCUUAAGAGAAGAACCAGUCUCAACUCUUCCUCUCCCAAGCUUGUCACCUCCUCUGUCUCCGCUGGUUGUAGCUGUGGUGCCACCAUCUGGACUAAAUCAUCAGAUUCUCCGCCAGACUACUCUGCUUCUAGUUCUGAUAGCCCUCCCGAGUUAGAACUCAGCGACUCGUUUCCACCAGAAUUCAGGUCUGACCGUGCUCUUGAAACCCAAUCAUUUGAUAGCAUGGUUGCAUGGUCAAGCUCUUGUGGUUGUAAUGUCGAUUCUAAUGCUGAUGAUAUUAUAAUCGAUGUGGAUAAGAAAUCUUUUGGUAGAAAAUUUGAUAAGCUGAAUUUAUCUGAUCUUGAUCUUCCACCAAUCAUAGCCAAGCCUGCUAAAUUCGACGAUAAGGCUGAGGACGUCAAAAAGAAGGAGACCAAAGAAACAACCAAAUACAGAAAGAGCUCAGCUAAAUACGAGGAAACAAAUGCUCAUGGCUCCUUAUCAGUGAAGGUGGUGAAAGAAGAGAGCGUCACCACGAAUGAGCAUAAAGGCAGUAAUUCCCUGAGGAGACAUUCUGUGAAUUCCCCAGGACUAAGGCUUCGAGUGAAUUCUCCAAGAAUUGCGAGCAGGAGAAUUCAGGCACACGCUAGAAAAAGCGUGUCAUCAACAUCGAGUUCAAGCUAUCGGAGGAGUCUUUCAGAUAGUCUGGCAAUUGUGAAAUCUUCAUUUGAUCCGCAGAGAGAUUUCAGGGACUCAAUGGUGGAGAUGAUUAUGGAAAACAAUAUCAGGGCAUCAAAGGACUUAGAAGACCUUCUUGCCUGCUAUCUUUCUUUAAAUUCCGAUGAGUAUCAUGAUCUCAUUAUCAAGGUUUUCAAGCAAAUCUGGUUCGAUUUGACAGAAGCCUGGUCGAAUGUAGGGACUCGGACUGCUCAAAAGCCUGGAACUCUGUUACAUUUUGCUGCCUCUCUGCGAAGGUUCAAUGCUAUUUGCCUUAACAGAGACAGCAGUAAAGGCGAGUAGGAGUUGGAAAGGAGACUGUAGACCCAUGUGGCUGUAAUGGAGGGUUUACAUUGGCAUCGCAAGAAAAAUCCAGGGUCAGAAAUGACUGUUUGGAUGAAAAGAAAAAUAGAGAAAAUAUUUGAUAAGAAAGCAAAGCGUGGAUGCUUGGUGUUGUCCCUUUCUGGGACAAGGAGUUUCAUGCUUGAUUGACAUUACCAAACAAUACUUUUAAAUCAGUAUUUAAAAGUCCCUAAUUUUGCGGUUGCUAUAUUUUUCACG